CUUUGGACUCAGAGCAGAGGCCGGCGAGCUGCGAACUGGCGGGCUGCGGGUGGCUGCGGACCGCACCGCGGGGAGGCGGAAAGUUUCUCCGCCCGCCUCGUCCUGCGAGCCGGCGUCGCCCGCUGCGGGCCCUGCCCGGCCGAGCAGUUCCGCAAAAAGAGAGGAUCGCACAGCAAAAUACAGUGGAAACAAAACCCCAAGCCAGCCGCGAGGCGCAGGGGGCAGUGGACAUAGGACCGGUGCUUGGGGCAGCCCUGAAUGUCCGUGGAAGUGGACCUGCUGUCAGAGUGGCCUGAGCCAAGCGUGCACGCUGGAGCCCGGAGGAGAAGGAGGAGGAGGAGCACCAGCCAUGCUUCGGAAAGACCUGGACGCCACUGGCAGCCAGCGCGUGCUCAGACUUAGGGGAGGAAGACUUCGGGGCACUGGGCGGAAGGGGGUUCCUGCUUCUUUCUUCCUUCCUCCUGCCGCCUGCCUCCAAGGCAAGGUCUUUCCCAGCUGGAUGGCUCUCUGGAUUGUGUAGCACCUAAGACAGGAAAGAGAGAGAAAGGAAAACAAAUCAAGUGAAACCUCUCCUGUGUGCUCAGCCUGCAGGGGCUUCGGGGCUGGGGGUGGCUGGAGUGGGAAGCUCGGUGCUCGCACAGGCGGGUUGGAGAGUGAUUCUCCACAGGAAACCUGAGAAACGUUUAUUCAGCUAACUGACACUAAACAAGGUGGGGCAGCCCGGGUGGGCCAAGGAGCCAAGCUGGUCCUGUUGGGACACACUUUCCUGCGGGGGACAUAUCCACAUCGGUCCUGCUCUGACCUGAGUUGGUGAGGCAGUCAGGACGGGACCCUAGGGACAGGCGUGGCGGUGAGCACCGGAUCUGCCCGAUACCGCUCUCCCUGAGAAGGGCCUUCCGGGAGCGCAGCCUUGGCGGGCAAAUCUGCUUCUACUCUGCGUGACAGAAGAAAGUGGAGUCCGCUAUCUAAGGUGGUGACUGCGGGUUUCUCUUGCCGGAAGACCAUGGUAUUCAGUGUGUAGCAGACCCAGAAUCAGUAGCAGACCUUCCUUCCUCUUUCCCUUCUUUCUCCUCUCACCAUGAUG
rnacentral:lncRNA from 1 species